AUACGGAGGAUCCGAGCGUUAUCCGGAUUUAUUGGGUUUAAAGGGUGCGCAGGCGGCCAUUUAAGUCAGCGGUUAAAUCGUGGGGCUCAACCCCAUUCUGCCGUUGAUACUGGGUGGCUUGAUUGCGGUCGAGGUUGGCGGACUUCGUUGUGUAGCGGUGAAAUGCAUAGAUAUGACGAAGAACACCGAUUGCGUAGGCAGCUGACCAGACCGCAAAUGACGCUCAUGCACGAAAGUGCGGGGAUCGAACAGGAUUAGAUACCCUGGUAGUCCGCACAGUAAACGAUGAAUACUUGUUUUCGGCGAUAUAAUGUCGGAGGCAAAGCGAAAGCGAUAAGUAUUCCACCUGGGGAGUACGCCGGCAACGGUGAAACUCAAAUGAAUUGACGGGG
rnacentral:rRNA from 1 species